UCUGCCCUGGCCUACCUGAAGCCUUGGACAGGACAGUCUAACCUCUGGGCCUCAGUUUCCUCCUUUAUAUAAAGGGAGGGGAGACUUCGGGACACGCCCGCACACAGCAGGUGCCAAGGCGAGUACUGACCCUGCCAUCGCAGACAAGGCGUGAUCCAAAGAGCCCCGCCUUGCCAUGAAGGUAAAGGAUGUGACGGACAGCUGCGCGGAGGGUGACUGCUCUUCAAGCACCGCCCAGGACUGUCGGCGGACUACAGUGUGAACACCUGCGCCCUCCUUUCUCCCCUGUUCUCGCCCUCUUGUCGGCUUCGAUGCACAGGCUGUAUAAUUCAAGUCAUUAAUUUUUUCCAUUCAGUGCGCUUCCGGUUUCUUCCCAUGUCCUUCCUGGAACCCUCUUGUGUGCAUCUUCUAAAUUUAAAAUAAAUACAGUGUACAUAAUUGGAUGCUAA